UGAACGCUGGCGGCAUGCCUUACACAUGCAAGUCGACCGGCAGCACGGGAGCAAUCCUGGUGGCGAGUGGCGAACGGGUGAGUAAUACAUCGGAACGUGCCCAGUAGUGGGGGAUAACCCGGCGAAAGCCGGACUAAUACCGCAUACGACCUACGGGUGAAAGCGGGGGAUCGCAAGACCUCGCGCUAUCGGAGCGGCCGAUGUCAGAUUAGCUAGUUGGUGGGGUAAAGGCCUACCAAGGCGACGAUCUGUAGCUGGUCUGAGAGGACGACCAGCCACACUGGGACUGAGACACGGCCCAGACUCCUACGGGAGGCAGCAGUGGGGAAUUUUGGACAAUGGGCGCAAGCCUGAUCCAGCCAUGCCGCGUGCGGGAAGAAGGCCUUCGGGUUGUAAACCGCUUUUGUCAGGGAAGAAACGCUCCGGGCUAAUACCACGGAGUAAUGACGGUACCUGAAGAAUAAGCACCGGCUAACUACGUG
rnacentral:rRNA from 1 species